ACCUAUUAUGGGAUACACGUUUUUAAACAUCCUUUUGUGUGUAAGUGUGCAUUAGUACAUGCUAACGAUAUUCAAAAAGUACAUACCUCAAAGAAAACGAUGACACGAGUUAUCGUCUCUAACGUUCGAGGACUACAAAAAACACUCGGAUUGUAGGCAACAGUUUACUUCCUGGGAUUAGUGACGUAGAUAAGACCAACAUUAUCAUAGUUCAGCCCUCUCUGCUUUGCUUGGGUACGCCCUCAAAGACGAGGGUGGGGUGGGGAGCGCCGAGUCAGAAGAGAGCUAAAAUGGCGGAGGUUGUGAGUCCCUGCUUUUACUCUGUUUGCAAACUCUUGUUUCAUCGUUUAAGCGAUUAAAUCUCUCGAGUAGACGCUGUCUCUUUAGAUGCGAGGGCAAAAUAGCACUUUAUGGACUUCCACAGAGGACAUCAUGUUUAAUACGGUUCCGGAAAAAUCCAGUCAGAAGUUGUUCACGGAGUUUUCACAAUAACUGCUUCUCAUGAACCGAAGCUGGAUUUGCGCGACGUCUCCUCUUGAAAGUUGGAUUACUGUGCACUUCUGGAUCACAGACUAUUCGCAGCUGGACACAUCCUUCUACACUGUAUGCAAACAUGCAACAUCAUUACACACAGUACAAGGAGUCAGACUGGCAUAUGAGGAGCAAAGGAACCCAGGCAGUAGCAUCGUUUCACAAUGUUUCCAUCAUCAUCAUCAGUGGAUGCUUUUGCCGUCCGUAGCCUGAGAUUUCAGAUUUGCAGCAAAAAAAAUUGAUUUUCUCAUUUAUUGGAAUGCUGUGCAGGUAUUUGUACCUUGCAGCCAUCCAUUACAAUGUCACCAAGCCGUAACAAAAGCAGGAGAGGAAAAGUACAAGGCUAUGUUCCCAAAACACAAAUGACAUACCUUAUGUGGAGGAUGUGAUCAGGCUUGUGUUUGAUGAGGUAUUUGAAGAUAAGCUGAAGGAAACCCCGAUUCCAAUGGACCUGGCAUCACAGUUUGAGAGACCUUCAAAGGAGGACGUGAUUGCAUGCCAUCUUCAGUGCA